GUGGAGUUCUUCGAUUUCACAAAUGAUUUCACGGGCUUCCUUGGGAUAUCGAUUUGGGGUUUUAGGGUUUCUUUGGGAUAUCGAAUUGGGGGUUUCCUUUGAAAUUAGAUUUGGGAUAAUGAUUUAGAGACGGGGUGAUUGAAAUAGAAUUGGGUUUUAUUCUGGUUUAUGGAUUUGGGGAUGGUUUAUGGUUCAUUUCGAUUUGGGAUGGUUUAUGGUUAAUCAGAAUCUAAGGCUCUGACUCCUUUCCAAUAAUGCUCCUCCCUCUCAAUCUUCAGCCUCCA
rnacentral:lncRNA from 1 species